rnacentral:rRNA from 1 species
UACGUAGGGCGCAAGCGUUGUCCGGAAUUAUUGGGCGUAAAGAGCUCGUAGGCGGCCAGUUGCGUCUGCUGUGAAAUCCCGGGGCUCAACCCCGGGCGUGCAGUGGAUACGGGCUGGCUAGAGGCAGGCAGGGGAGAACGGAAUUCCCGGUGUAGCGGUGAAAUGCGCAGAUAUCGGGAGGGACACCGGUGGCGAAGGCGGUUCUCUGGGCCUGUACUGACGCUGAGGAGCGAAAGCGUGGGGAGCGAACAGG